UAGUGAGAGGCUGCUGGGUGAGAAC
rnacentral:misc_RNA from 1 species